CCAGCCCCAGCCCCAGCCCCCAAAUUCUAACCCCCAAUCCCGAGCCCCCAGGUCUCCGCCCCCAGACCCCAGCUCCCACCCCCUGUUUCCCAGCUUCCUGACUCCACCUCCUGGAGCUCGGACCCAGCCACCAGCAGGGAGGCUGGAGGCGCGGCUGAUCUCGUCACGGAGGGCCUGGCGGUGAGGUGGACUUGAUGCGGACUUGAGGGGCUUGAUGGGGGCUUGAGGAAUGUGCGAGCAUCCAAGGACGGGCAGCUGGCAGUAAAUAUUUGGUGAAGGUGUGGAGAGGCGAAUGACGACGGAUCCGCAGGAGAAAGCGUCCGGGCUUGUCUGGAGUCGCCUCCCCUCCAGGCCCAGGAUGCUGCCGCGCACUGAGCUGCGUGGCGCGAAGAUCUGGGCUCACCGCGCUCACCCCGACCGACAGGCUCCGAACGUAUCUCCAAGGCCGAAAUCACCGCCCGAGGAAGGAUUUCUCCAGCCAGGACCAACCUCUUACAGGAGACUCGCCAGAAACACAAACCCACGUGCACGUCACGUGUGAUGGGAGCCAAGCGUGCGCUGCUCGCCGCAGAUCGCACCUCGGCGGGACAUUGGCGUGGCCCUGGAAACUUGGGUUGAACACGGCUCGAUGCUCAUUUUUUAUCGCCCAUCCGACGCUUUCCUGUGUGUUUGACCACUGCCAUCUUGUGGUCUUUUCUUCUUUCUUUGUGCAGAGCAUUGGUGAACGUGGGUAUUUAAUUUUUGUAAGAGCGUUUGAAAGAAACCUGUGGCCAGAAUGAGUGGGAAUGCGAGAGUCCAAAAUGACCUGCCUGAAGCUGUAGAGCUCCUUCCUGUUAGCAGGAACCGAAUCUCUUAAAAAGCCUAACCUGGCUGUGCCAGGGUUUGGUAACACGCCUCUAGUUUCAAAGUAACGCUUUUUCAGUGUUUCUGAGCAACAGGUUUCAGUAGCAACGAAAUACUUUGUCAGACUUGUAAUUGCAAAGCCAAGAUACUUCAUGUGCUUAAUGCUUGUUUUUUUCAAAUGAAGCUUUCCUUGCCACACAAGUAUCGGGACAAAACAUUGUUUCAUUGAAUGUAUCUCUCGUGGCAUUCACCGUGGUUUGUUUUUUUUUUUUUUUUUUUUUUUUUUUUUUUUUUUUCUCUUUUUUUCCAUGUUGCUUCUGAAAGUGGUGAUAAGCUUAAACUACAACUUCGUGUAUGCAUGAAAACGUGUAGUUAUGUUCAGCUUAUUCAUGUACCAGAGAAUAAACAUUUAGAAAUGGA